rfam:Canis lupus familiaris chromosome 7, whole genome shotgun sequence.
ACCUGGUUGGCUCAGUGGUUGAGCGUCUGCCUUUGGCUCAGGUCGUGAUCCCCAGGUCCUGGGAUCGAGUCCCACAUCAGGCU